UACCAACAUCAAAAACACAUUUUUUAAAUUCCAUUUUAGGCAUCAAAGUGCCGUGAGCAUAUCUUGAAGCAAACCCAACAUUAUUUCUUAUCAUGUCACUGAAUAAAAAAUAAAUAUAUAAACUACACACUAAAUGUGAACGCGAAACGGGAGUCACGUGCAAAAGGACAGGAAACACACGUGGUCCACAGUGCUCCGCACAGACAAUCAAAUACUUGACGGGGUCAAUCCAACGCCAUAUUGAAUGCCUGUGCCAAAGAGCAAUGCAUGCACAUAGCUGUGGAGUCAGUGAGGGUCCUGGCAGUCCCUGCCCCAGUCAGACCUCCCAUUCUGGAGCCGUUUCCUCUGCCUUCGCCCGGAUCCUGGAUUUGACGUGUGCCAUGAUCGGAAACUAGUGGAGGGAGAAAAACACAGCUCCUGGCAUGUUGAACUGAUCUGUGGUGUGGGAUGCCUGUUACUUGAGGAGACUCAAAAUGGCUGUCUGUGUCAGCAGUGUCACAUGCUGAUGAAGACUGAAUCACACUGGGUCUAGCUGUUGACGUAAUGCAGUGUGCUGUAUUGGAAAAGGUCUGGUAAACAUGUCUGUUGCCAUCUUCUGCAUGCAAGAUACUGACAUAGUCACCUGUCACUAUCCCUUUCCUGAUUAAAACAUGCUGUGAACACUUGUAUCAAAAUAUGGUAUAUAUGCAGUAGGCACUGUAUAUUGAAGUGCAUUUCUUUUUUUUUUCAUUGUGACAUCAGUAAUGUUAAUUACCUGUGUGUUUUUGGAUUUGGUGUUGUAAUGCUGAGGGCAUAUCUUAAAGGCUUUGACAUCCAUGUCUGUGCCUUUUUUCUGACAUCCUUUUAUUUUUCCUCAUGAAUAAACUGAUUAACAUGGCAAUGAGUCAUUAAUAUGCUAAUUACAAACAAUCUACAUAUUUUAUUCAUAACUGUGCCAUAGACUCAUUUGUCUCCAGAUUACAAAGGCAAAGCAAGGAUAAAUCACUUCCAUUUUGAUGUUGUAUAAUGUAACAUUAUGAUUGCAAUUUAUUUACGCAGUCUCCUGUAUAGUAAAAGAACAGAAAUGCCCAAACUGAUUUUGAAUAUGUGCUGUUUUUACUAAAAUAUGUAUGUUUUGACAGUGUUUACAUAACAGUAAGAAGGCAUAUUUCA